rnacentral:tRNA from 18 species
GGGGUCGUAGCUCAGUUGGGAGAGCGCGUCGUUCGCAAUGACGAGGUCAGGGGUUCGAUCCCCCUCGGCUCCACCA